rnacentral:lncRNA from 1 species
CUUUUUUUCCCCCCCCUUUCCUCUCCCCUCCUUUACCCGCCGGAGCGCGGACGGCUGCCAUUGUCCGCGGGCGCCGAGCGGGGCAGCGCCGCGGGAGCACCGGCCCGGCCCCCAGAGCGGGGCCCGGCCGCAGCAGCCGCCGCCGUGCCCGGGGGCAGAGGGUGUGCCUUGUGCCUCCCCCCGCCUCCCGCCGCCCGGCCCUCCUCCGGGCAGAAGGGGAGGAGGAGGAGGGCGAGCGGUGGGAGGGUCUCCAUUGAAAUAAACAAGCAGGCAGUUAUUAAAACGGGAACAUGGCGGCCGCAGCCCCAGCUUCAGCUUCAUCUUACAAAGCGAAGGUCAGCGCCGGCGGCGGCCGCGGCGGGAGGCGACACUGACCCCGCACACUUGAGAUGUAUCUGAGUGCUGGGGCCCCCCAUACACACAGACUCUAGAACUCCUUGCCUGCCUCGCUGAGUCUCGGUGAGUUGACUGUUAGUUAUUGUGUUUUGUUGGAUUGCUUUAGUUUUACCUCCUUCACCAAGAACUUUGAUGUGAGAUGUCUCAAACUGAUUGUGUGGGUACAGUGGAACAAACCUGGUUUUAAGUAAUGUGUGAUGUUGCAGUCAGUAGAAAUAUGUACGCUUUAGAGACUUUGAACAGUAGCACCCAAAUUGGUUAUGUGCCAAGACCAGAAACAGGACUCUGCUGAGAAGGGCUGAAGGAGAUCAAUGUGAUGUUCCUUCCCUUGAAGUUUGUUUGAUACUUGAUCCUUCAACCAAGGAACUGAUGUUUUUCAAAUGUGCUGAUUAUGGUCUGUCUUACGGUGAAGGUUGAGUAUGAAGUAAUACAGGCUUUUCCAUCCAACUAUCUGCACUAAUAAAUUACUUAAAUUGAGGGCUGAAAUAAGUAUAAUGACACUUGAUGACUUAAACUGCUUGUUGCUCAAAAAUUACUGUCUGAUGGCUACAUGAGGCAGUACUGUUCCUGUUUAACACUGCUCAGAAGAAGGGAUAAUACUGCUGAGAAUUAGGAGAAGGGACCCCUGUGGAUUGUUUAAAUGCAGACUAAUAAUAGUUUGGCAGAAUAGUGAAAGAAAGUAGAAUAUAACUGCUGUAUUUUUACUUUAGGCAUGUUUAAUGUAUCAAUAUACUUACUUGGUAUAAACCUUUGACAAAUACGCAUUUGAGAUUUUAUGUGAGAACCUUUUCAGGGUACUCAUGAAUAAAUGUUGUCUUUUAACACAUAGAGUGACUUAUUAAGGUCGGAAAUAUGUAUUUUUGAGGCUUGCACACUAAAUAUAGAGGUGGGGAAUGAGCCAGCUAAGAAGGGCUUUAGUUGUUUUGGGCAUAGCUGUUUGUACAACGCUGGCCAUUUAUGGGUAAAAUUAUGUAUGUCUACAUCAAGUAUAAUUUCCUCCUUUGUUAAUUACAUUGAGCAAUCUUUUUUUUACAAGCUAACAACACUUUUCUUUAAACUUACUGAAUUUUCUAGCACCAGUGAAUGAAAACAGGUUUAAGAAGCUUUUCUGAGCUUCUGUUUUUCUGCCUUUUUCCGUGGCUGUUCUGAUAACAAAAUAUUGCAGUUCAUUGCAUUCAAUAAACUUUGUAAUACUGGUUGAAUAGUUUGUUUGUACAAUAUAUUAACUUGAGAGUGCUGUGCCACGUAGAUGUUGUUUAUUGCUUGCUUAUGUACACUUACUGCUUGCACUGUAUUAUUUGUUUAAAGUACUUCUCAGAGCUGCAUCACGAUCAUAAUGAGUGCAUGCCGGUUUUCUCAAUAAGAAGCUAUAUUUGUGAUCAUUUAAAUUAAUUGUUUAAGAAGAAGAAAGUAUCUCAAAAUAUCUGCUUUUUCUUCAAGUGAAUAAAAGGCUCAUAAUAUGAUGAGUUGGGUAUGACGAAUGAAAAAAGAAAAAUGCCUUUACCAAAAUUCCCCCAAAGAGAACAUGAAAUUUUGUUGUCAAAUUGAUAGCAUGUUUGUUUUCAUUUCAGACAUCUUGAUUGUAAUUUUCUAUUAAGCAAGGAAUAUGUUAGAUUAAAACUGAAAAAGGUAAAUACUCAAAUAAAAAGCAAUUUGCAUAUAAUUACCUUUUUUUCCUAAUUAAUCUGAGUGGGGAAAAAAACCCACAACCUUUCUUUUGCUUAGUGCUGCUAAAUUCUCUACCACACUUCCAAAUUUUACUUGUUAGAGCACCAGAAAGUAAUCUGGUACCUCUACAGAUACUGACUAAAACAUGGUCGCUGUUCUUGAAAAGUUCACAAGUUUUAAUGUGAGCAACUAAAAGGUAAAAUUUGGUAUAUAAUAUGUAGAGUGAUAACAGUGAAGAGGAAACCUGUGUUAAAAAUGGGUGUUGUGAAAUGAUUCAAAAGGUAAGGAAUCUGCCUCUGCCUGGAAGCAGAGGCCAUUUUCCCAAAGAAUAUCCUGAUGCUCUAAAUUGAAUGAGACUGCAUGAGGAGGAGGCUGCAUGAGACAUGGAACAGUUUCAAAUUUUGGUUCCUUUAAACUCUUGGAAUUGAUAUCGUUGAAUUCUGAAGUCCUAUUGUUUGACUCAUUCAGAUGCUCUCCCUCUAUAGAAGAAUAUCAGUUGUAAAUGAAUUUAUGUUAACUAGUAUACCAACUUGAUAUUAUACUUGUAUGUGAAGUUAGGAAGGAUAUGCCAGCUGGAAUCUCCUAAGUCCUGAUCUUGGCUUUUUAAUGGGAGCUGCCUGUGGAAUAGUUGCUGGGUUUCACCGGGCAUCGUGAUGCUGUACCGUGAGUGUGGCUUGACUUGUGUUCAUACAGCCUCUGCUGUGAGUCUUUCAGCAGGUGAAAUUCCUGCCUAGAGCUGAUUGGAUCUGCUUUGAAUGCAAUGUGGUGCAUAGAAGUUUGAAUGUUGGACAUGUUAAAUGGCUUUAGAGUGUACAUAAAGAAACACGUAAAAGUAAUUUGAAUGUUAGAAUUUGUAACCACACACCACUGUGUGUGGUGGCUAGGGUAAUGCAGGAUAGCUGCUGCGUGCUACCAAGAAGAUAUGCGGUUAGGUUAGAGAUGGCAAGAAGGACAGACUGCAAACCAGCCAACCGGAUAAAAGUGUGAACUUGACUUUCCAGUCUAAAAGUUUUCAGUCGUAUCUUCUCUCUCAUUUUCUUUUUGCAUUAAAUGGUUUCUUUUGCAGGGAAUGUUUCUCAGGGAAAAGAAGAGAAUGUAGAUUACAGAAAUCUCAGUUUUCUGUCAUUUUCAAUGACACUCUGUUUCAAUCUAACUUUGCAGUGGCUUCAUUGGCAUUUGUGUUGUAGUUAGUGUCAAGUGUGAUACAUAGAAAAUACUUGUCUGUUUGUUGUGAGUUAUAGCACUCCUAAUUGUUGCUCACAGCAGUUGUAGAUAAAGAAAAUUCUGACAGAUGUCUCACUUAAGAUGGAGUCCUCCAAAUACUUGAUGUGUAAAAGGAGUGCUGUCAGAAAGUAAAGCAUGAUACUGAAAAUAUAGGAGUACCUCACAUUGAAACAAGUUUUAUGAGUCUUUUACUAUUAAUUUGAAGAUGGAAGGAAGAAAAGUUUACAAUAGGUUCCAAGUAUGAAAUAUAAAUGAGGGAGGGAGAGAGCUCACCUGUCAAAAUUCAAAGCCACACUGGGAUGGAGCCCACCAAGAGCUCAGAUGUAAGUUCACAGCACCUUGACUCCCAGAGGAGCAGUAUUCCAGAAAAAUACUUGAAAUAAAAUAGUUAUUGAUCAUGGGAACGGAUAAUCUUUACUGACUCAGAUCUUCUCAUUUGAAGCAGAAUUUGUGAACGAUUUUUAUCCUAGUUUAAAUUGGUUUGUGCUAAAUAAAGAGGAUGCGGUCGCAUUCUGAGACCUCAAUACCGAGUGGUUCUGUUCUGCAUGAAAUAUGAUUGGAUUUUCUGUUCUCAGUCUCUCCUGUUCUGUAGUGAUAUUAGUUGAAGUGGAUUGCCUAUAAAGGUGCCUACUAAAGUAGAUUCUUGAUUAUAGCGAAUUUAAUCCAAUCAGGGUCAAAAUGGUACUCCUAAUCUGAGAGUGAACACUCUGUGUGGGUGGUACAGUGAGAAUGUUCAACAGAAGUAGAGAAAUGAGCAUCUAUUAAGAUUUAUGAAAUCUUUUUCUUUUUCAAGUUGGGAAUGGGUGAUUAUGGAAAUCUUUCAUUUUUACUGUGUGGAAGAGGUGAAAUUUACGCAAAUGCAAUAUAUUGCAUUUCCUUUAAAAUUAAUGAAAAUUGAGAGUACAGAGAAAUCUCAUCAUCCUUACUGCUGGUAGAACUACAUUUGUUAACAAUGAAAGCAGAUUUCAAGUACUUCAAUAUUUUGAGGCCACAACAUUCAAUUUCAUUUGAAGUCUGAGGUAAAAAUUUCUUAAAUAUGUAGAACUCAUUAAUUACCUUGAAUGGAUUUAAAUGGAGUGCUCUGUCAAUGAAAUUCUUACUGAACUGGUAGAAUCAAACCUCAUUUAUCAAGUCCUGUUGAAAACACUGUCAUUCAAUUGAUUGAAAUUUGCCUUUUGUAGCUAUAUCCAGGAAGAUUAUUUCUAACACUUCAUUUUCGGUGAGAUAUAUACAAAAUAUUUAGGAAAUGAGAUAGCUAACUUGAUUUCAUUCACUUCUUAAAUAUUGGUCUUGGCUUAGUAAUGGGCUCUGGUUAGAUUUUUUUUCAUUUCUUAUCUUGAUAGGAACCUUUUUAUGUUGCCAAAGGUAUAGUAUAUAUGCAUUUUCAGAAGAAAUAGCUGUCAUUAUUGUCUGUGGAAAAUCAAUAUAUAGUUUAAAUAUGGAUUGAUGACAUUCUACCACCAGUACUGGAGCCUGGGAAUUCUAGAGGGGUCAAGAACAGGACAACUGAGCGCUUGCAUCAUCAAAGAAGAUGAGAUGCAUUUAUUCGGGCAAAUUUUCCUCUGGGCCUGCAUUUAACCCCUGAAUUGGGAAGAAUGAAAUAUUUACCCAGCUCAGCUCUUGACAGUAAAUAGUAUUAAUUAAAUACAGGGCUUGAAAAUGACACUGGUAUUUCAGAUUAAGGCCAGUAGAUUUUGCCUUGGCUUUCUGAAUAUUGAAUUCCAGUAGUCUGUUUAUUUGACAGCGUUAUAGUACAAUAAUUUGAGGAUCAUAGAUAUUUCUGUACAUUAAAGUGGCUGAAUUUUUAUCAUGCCACACUGCUGGGAUGUUAACUCUGAAGACUUACGUGACAAGAAUAGUAAGUGAAUUUGCAACUGGUUAAUAUAAAGUGUGGCACAGUUUGUUUUCAUGUGACUAAUUUACCUUUAUACUAACUGAAUUGGCAAGAAAUUUUAACUUUUUUUAAACAAACUUUGAAUAUUGAAAACACAGUCUUAGGUAAUAUUUCACUUCUUAAUAUCUUUAAGUGAUUUAAAUGUUUUAGAAAUAUCUCUCCAACCAUACAUAGCUUGACAAAAUAACUCAUUUUAGCAAUCUGAAGAGAGAGAAGGUAUUUGAAUAUUUUCCUUCCCCAGAAAAGACAGCCAUUUGUGGUUAGCUGACUGCACAGGCACCAGAUUUUAGUAUAUGUGUCUAGCAACUGAUGAUCCAGAUGCUUCCUCUUUUUCAUUAUCAGUAUUUUGUUCCUCAGUAAUCCCAGUUAAAUAAACUACAGUGUUCAGUAUACACCAAGCUCCAUAUACCUCCCAAUGACAGCAAUAGGUGAUCUAGGAGCAUUUAAAAUUGGAACUGAAAAAAAAAAAGAGUUGGAUUUGUAGGUAUUGCAAAUCAGUUAAUCCUUGAGGCAAAUGGUGUCAUAUUGAGUUAAAAUGUUUCCAUUCAUUUUCUUUCACCAUGCUUCUCUCUUGCUUUUGCUGAUAUUAUGUAGAUCUUUAAUUGUCCAUACCCAUAGAACUGAGGAUUCCAUUUUGCUUUGGCUUCCUUUGUCCUUCAAUCUCCAAACACCUGUUUCACAGCAGUGAGAGGGAGAUGUCUCCUACAUUGCUUUGUUCAGGGUGUAAGCUUGAAGCUCUACUGCGUGGUGCCACAGUUAGUAGUAUUUUGGAAUGGGAUUGAAACAUAAAUUUCUCUGAAGGUAGGUGGCCAACAGGUAUGAAAUUUCAGUUGAGUUAAUUUUUAUGGCCUUUCAAUUUUCAGUUGUGGUUUUUCGCUUGGCUUCUCUUCACAAAUUCUGCUUAGCUCUAUUUUUACUGCUUAGUACAGCUGAGGAGACCCAUGCAAAAAAAACUUUCCACUCUGGAAUUGCAGUAACUACCUGAAUGUAUUCUGUGGUGGAAUAGGGUAUGUAUGAUGAUGAUACAUUGAACUUCACACGUGACUACUGAUGUUUAAAGUACUUGUCUGUGACUGUGAUGCUGGUCUUGGGUUUCUCAUGAGCCCACUCUUGUGAUAACUCAAGUUCCCAGCUCCUGAUCAGCACUGAAAUACUUAGGGAAUCAAUGCAUGUGAGUCUACUAUAUAACACUUAAGACAUGCUUGAUACAAAUUGACAGAAGUUUUAAGAAACAAUCACACAAAAAACCAACCUGCAAUCCAUCAUUUUAUGUGAAAUAUUACGUACUGUUCUGCUGCUGUUAUAUUCCAAAUGUGUUACCACCACUGUUGCACCCUACAGGAGGUGUGCUUCAGCCUAAACUGUUACGUGUCAUUUGUUCUGUUAAUUUUCUGCUUUUGCUGGUUAGCAUCAGACAUGCUGUGUGUAUAUACACCUGUGUAGUAUUAACUUAUUUUUGAGUAUCAGCCUAAAACCAAGCAUAUGGUGCUCUGCUCCUGUUUUAGGGCACUAUUAGAAAGAAAGAGAAGAAAUGUAAUAGCCUGCUGGUGGUGAAUUUGAUUCCAGUAGCAGCAGUUCAGAAAAUUCGUCAUCAUCUGACAACAAUGAUAAUGCUUUGGGGUUGGGCACGCUUGUCUGCUUGGUUAAAACCCCUUUAGGCAGGAGUGAUGUUGUGUGGAUCAGGACAGUUUGAUCCAUGUGGAACUGUCAUAGGAGAGGCUGGAGAUGGGUUGGUCAGUCUCUCUGCUUCCCAGAGCCUGUUUCUGGUCCACAAGUGCUGCUUCCUUUAUCAAGUUGGCCUCAACAGUCCCCGGACACCUGCAGGACAUGUCUCCUGCCACAGCCUGUAUUACUUGACAUGGUUAAAGGGCUGGAGAAUGCUGUCCUGGGCCCAUAUGGACACCAGUGUGCAUGGUCAGGGCCACACCUGUCUUUGGUUGCUGAGGGGAGAGAGGUGGGAGGGCACAUCUCUAUAUGCUACCUCACUUGGAACACGCAGCAGCACGGAGGUAGGAGUUGUGAUGCUCAUGCUGAACGGCAGGGCUGCUCACUUGGGCACCCUGGGAGGUUGCUGCCUCUCUGGGCUGCUGAUGCUUCAGAGGCAGAGAUAGAAAGCUGCACACAGGGAAAUGUUUCUACUUCUUACUGCUGCUUGAAUACGUUGUUGGAGAGCUGGAUUUCGCAUGUCAGCUGUAAGUACCCUAUCUGCUGUGCGUGCCGUGCAGUAAAGGAUGGGAGUUUCUUCACUUUGCCACUUCUAUUUAUUUAAUUUAUUUAUAUGCUACCUAUCAGGUUGUCUUUCCAGGCAAGGUACUGCAGGGGAAGCCAAGGUGUACAUUUACAGAUAUAUUUAGCAAUUAAAUCCCCUUGUGGUUGCUUGUAAUGCUUCAGGAUAGCUUACUCUACUCUGGCAUGAAGCAAACUUUCUGAACCAAGGGCAUUUUUACUGGCAAACUGAGUAUUUACGAAACUUGAAACAGUUUUGAAGUGUUAGGUUUUGUGUUGUUUUGGGGUUUGUUUUUUGUAGGGUCUGAAAUGAAAAAUCCUCUGCACAGCUCUGUUCCUUCCAUCAGUGCUUUCUCUGUCUAUAAUGGAACGGAUACAUUUAACUACGGAGGUACAUUACUAAUUUGAUUUUCCCACUGUUGUCACUAUAUCUGCCAUCUUUUUUCCAGAUUCUUUGGUUAGACCGGUGUGAAGUGUUUUGCCAUGAGGAAUUGGAAACCUGAAAAGAUGAAAAUCAGCAUUUUUAGAUUUCCUUGCAUUAGAGUAAAAGGAAAAUUAAGCUGUUUAAAGCACAUCUCUCAGAGACACCUGUGGAAUUUCCUUUGGGGAGGAGGGUCUUGUUUCUUUCUUUCUUUUUUUUUUUCUUUGCAUCUAAGAAGGGAAAUAGGAGGGAUUCUUGCAUUAAAGUUGAGCCAACUACUGUUGUAAAAUCCCAUGCUGGGUAAAACCUCGUUCUGUUAAUUGAAGACUUUUUUUCAUUUAUAUGAGCUGAGUGUACAGAAGAUGUCACCUUUUACUGUUUGUAACUGUUUUUGCUUCCGUUGACAGAAAAGGAAGUUGGCAAUAGGGUAAUAGCAACAAGUGAUUUUUUUUUAAAGGCAUUUUAAUAAUUGAAUGCUUGUGUUUGUUUCUAUAUUGUAAUUUGUACCGAUUGUAUUACCAGUUCUUAGUUCUUUCCUGUUGCUUUGUUUAGAGUAUCAGGUAACUUUAAGAAUCCUUAUGCCAUGCUGAUGAUGGUCCCAGUGGCUCUUUGUGUGAAGCAUCUGUUAAUGGUGCUGAACGAUCAGUUAGGUUUUUUUAUUCAAGUCCAGAGUCAGCAAUGAAAAUCAAAUGUAGUGGUACUUUGGACAACUCCUUCUUAAUCAACAGAUUUGGAUAAGGUGGCAAGAACCAUCUGUAGAAUUUGAGGGCUUACAGAGUUCAUCUCAGAAUGAAUGGGUUCUGUGGUAGAAAUUUAACACUGCCCUUGAGAAUUAUGGUACGUGAGUAGCUACAGGAAUGGGAUUAUCCUCUGGGCUUGUGCUCGGGAGCCAGGAGCUUCUACUUCACUGUCAGGGUGGUGAGAGGUGGUCUGGAGAAGUCACCCGAGCUGUAAGCCCCUUCUUUAUCUGCAAAAUGGACUCGGUUCCCAUUAUUUUCUCUGUAUACAGAAUAUCGAAGUUCACUGUUUGUGGAUUGUUCACAGAAAAUAAAAGCAUUUGUUUUCCAUUUCCUUAAAUAUAAAUAAAAUAUCUGCUUUUAUCUACCUGUAUUGUGAUAUGUUAAUGAAGUUGUAAGAACUGCAGUUCAAGCAGUAGCCUUUUUCCAUUUUAUUAAACAUCCCAAAUUGGUUUGAGUUAACAGUCUAUUUGGCUGCUUGUGUUAGGGGAUAAAACCAAGCACUGACUGAGCUUUGCGUUUCACAGAGGAGAAGAAUUAAAAACUGUCUCCGAGUGGUGACGAUGGGGUUAUUCUUUGAAAUUCUAAUUUAACACUUCAGUAAUGGGUCAAGCUUGCUCUGAAUCCUCUGUGGGAUUAUUUGAUUUGCUGUCUGGUUGACCUCAAGGAAAAUGGGGUGUCUUUAAAUUACAAGAGGUGCUAUAGCUAUCGCCUUAUAAUAGAGCCGCAUGGGAGAGUUGGUUGUUUUAAAUGAGGAUUGUUGCCUGAUGACUAAGGGAUUAUAUGAAUGGGGCUUAUUCUCAAGAACUGCCUUGAGGGGAAAAAGCUGUAUUUUUUAAAUUAUUAUUAUUUUUUUAGUUACCAUCAGAUGUAUUAUUGAAAUCGGUGUGCUUGAGAGAUGAGGGGAAAAUAUUUUACUUACCUGAGGGUGAAGUUGGGGUGGGACUAGGGUUUAGUGUCUGUUUUGUCUUCAGCAUUAUUUAUGCAUGGGUGAGUUCUGUCUUUUCAGAUUCUCUUCCAUGCCUCAAGAAGAAUCGGUACUAUUUUUUGUAAUAAAAUUGUUUAUUAAAUGGCAUUCGCAUGACCGUGGAAUUGGAGGGAGAAGUUCUGCUUUUUAUAAGCAGACAAAGAAGCAGCUUGAAUAUUUUGCAAGUUCAUGCAUGUCAUGUUUAGCCUGCCAGAACCUUUAAAAUUAAUUUGCAAAGCACUGAAAUAAAGAACUCAAAUGUUUUGUGCUGUGUCAUACAUAAAUGGAAUAGUUAUAAGUUAAUUUGUAACUGAAUUUUAGGGGGAAAAUAAAGGCAGGAUUUCAGUUAAUAAUGAAUUCUCUCUGAAAUUUCACUUUUUGAUGUUAUUUAUGCUAGAUGUUCUGUGCAUAUUGCUCUUUCAUUUUUUCAGCCACAGCUCACCUUUAAAAGCCAUAUAACAUACCUGCUCAUAUUUUAGCAUGUUACAUAUUUCUCCCUCCGUCUUACAAAUUAAAUUGAUUUUUUUAAACAUCUAUGGUUUAUGAUGUCAUAGGGUGUAAAUUAAUACAAAGAAAAGCUCAGUGGAAUAAAUCAUUUUAACUGCACUUAGUGUCUCUUCAGGAUUAUUGAAUGGAGACGAGCUGUGCAGCGCGUGUUGUAUAUAUUGAGAAAUAUCAGAAGACAUUUUUGACAAGAGUUUUGGAAUGAGUUGUGGGCUCAACUCCAGCACUGCUGAGUGCAACCCCUCCUGCAGAACUUUCCACUGCCAUUUUGUCACAGACUGCAUGCCUUUAUUUCAACUCGGAUUUCUGAUUUCAGUAACUCUAGCUCUGUGCUAGUUGAAUUGCGUAUUUCCUUUGAAUUGCGUGGUUGAAUUUAUUUAGUUUUGCUUCUGAUUUUUUUUCUUUAUUUAUUUAAGAAUACAAAUGUAUUGGUUUGUGUAAAGUUCAAUUUAUAUCAGUUUGAAUUAAUAUGUUGUGGCAGGUUUCUGAAGUUGGCAAUAACUAUGGAAAUGUAAAUCUUGUAAGAUGUUGAGAAGGGAUAUUGGGUAAAAAGCAGUGUAGUCAUCAGUUUUGUACGUAUGUAGGGGAGGGAAAUUCUUUAGGAUGUGAAUGUUUCUCUAUAAUUUCUAGUAACUGACAGGGAGACAUAAAUAACAUAAUGCAAUAAGGAUUAUAAAGAUAGAAAGUACACAGAUUUAUUUUACUGUACUUCCACCAAGGGCUUAUUUUCAAAGGCAAAACCUCCUCCUGCUGUCUUCUGUGUUAAAAUGUAUACAGUAAAGUGUUAGUUUCAGCACAAGCAGCUGGGCCUCGCUCACAAGCUUCCAUCUGAAGAUUUGGUAGCAAGUAUGAAUUGGGCUGGUUUGCUGCUUCAAACUGGGUCUCUUCCUCUUGAUAGAAGAGGGUACAGUGACUCAUUUGUUAAUGAAAAAUAAUGCUGCUGGAGUAAGCAGCAGCAUGGCACACACACGCACACACACAAACCAACCCAAACCCAACAACAACAAAACCCUAACCCACAGUUCCAAAGCCCUUAACAGUUCAGCAAGUAAACACUGAACACCACAUGCACCAUCUCCUCACAGUACACAGAAUCAUGAGCCACAUUGUCUUCCAAGUCCAGCUGAAUGGACAGCCUUUGUCUGCAGUGUGUACUCAAAGUUGCCUAUUGGGGCUAUUUGGAAAAAAAAAUCCAUAUAGAAUCAUAGAAUGGUUUGGGUUGGAAAGAACCCUUAAGAUCAUCUAGUUCCAAACCCCUGCUAUAGGCAGGGACAUCUCCCGCUAGACCAGGUUGCUCAAAGCCCCAUCCAGCCUGGCCUUGAGCACCUCCAGGGAGGCAAAUUUAUUUUAUGUAUUCAUUUAUUUUAAAGAGUUUUUGCUUUUGUAGGGGAUGUUUCAUUUGCUUCUGUACUUCUUUUUCCUAGAGGGGAAAUAUAAACUCAAGUUUGUCUUCUGAUUCCAACUCUAAUAGGGGAGUGUGGGAGUUCACGCAGAUGAGUUCCAGACAGAAACCUCAAAUACACCACUGCUGACUGGAGCUGUACAGCACUGUGUAGGGAUGCCAUGAAAUUUAGAGCACUGUGGUUGUGAAACAAUGAGAAAUCUUCCAAUCAGGGCUCUAUCGCAUGUGGAGAAGAGGGAGAAGAGUGAUUUUAUUAUUGGUAGAUGAAGCGCAUCUCUGUUUUUCUUCCCUUUAACCCUGAUAUGACCCUUAAAAAGGUGAAAGGUGGUUCAAACUCCUAUUCACUGAGAUUUGGAGAUUUCCGGAAUGUAAACUUAGUAGUUGUGCCAAAUUAUAGGCUCGCAAAUCAUCAGGCUUUCUCUAGAAUUUUGACUUUGGUUGAAGCGAGAGUUCAAAUAAGGAAAAAAGUAUAGCACCUCAUAUCAUAAUUUAUGCAGAUGGUCCUGUAGCAUUUUGCCUUUAGUAACUACUGCUCUCUCUGUGCUGGUUUAGACUUUCAUAGCUAUCUUCUUUUCUGUACGUAGACAGAAAAUACCAAUAAUAAUAAGGGAAAAGAUAGUUUUCUUUCAAGCUUGCUUACACAUAUGUAGGGAAAUGAAAAGUAUGUUCCAAGUCCUAAUGGAAAAUGUCAUGAUAUGAUACAAAGUUGUUUUCUGAGUGGUGGUUUUGAGAGAUCAUGUACCAUAAAAGAACGAGUCACUUGGCAGAUUUUCCACUAGUAGUUUGUGUUGUAUUUUGGUAGGUAAUACAUGAGACAUCAUCUUUGUGAUCACGCAAUUUCUCCCCAAUGGCCACAACAACUGCUUUCAUGGGAAAUGAGUACACGAAUUGAUGUAUUCUGAGUUUUCUUUACUGCAAUUAAACAUCUGGAAGCAUGCAGAGCUGUCACCGUAGGACCAGCCAGCUUUCUACAGAAUAUCAGCAAUACUCCAUGGGCCGGUCUUUGUAAAUGUCUGUUGCAGUUAUCUGGUGUCUAUUUUUUCAUUCAAGGCAGUAUACUUAGUGGUCUGUACUCAUUGUCAGGGCUGGCUUGACAUCUGACCAGUAGUGCUUUCUGAUUACUAUUAAAUACUUACAAACGUGCUUGUUGCUCUGUGUGGAGUAAAUAUAAAUUUCGCUUCGCUCUCAUUUUGGAAGAUUGGGAUUGUACUGGAAAGUCAGAGGCAGAAAUAAGAGUACGAGCAUAAACUGUGUCUCUUCUAGAUUUUAAUGAGGAGAUCAGUAGGGUAAUAGCUGGUCGCAAAUAAGAUGGUCUAAUUUGUAAUUUCGGAUAAUAGCUCAGUCUACCAAGUUUCAUUUAUAGAAGCACACUAUUGCAGAGUGAGAAUUUGGUGCCUGAUUACAAUCUGUGUAAAUAAUCUCUAUUGUAGCGAACUCUUUGCCUUCAGACUUGUGCUCUGUUUCAUAGAAUCGUAGAAUCACUCAGUUUGGAAAAGACCUUAAAGAUCAUCGAGUUCAAUUUUCCUUCAGAAGAUGACGUGUAUUUGUAUUAGCCAAGUCUUAAAUACAGAAUAUGUGUAUAAGAAGAGCAACUCUCUGGCAGCAAGUAAGGCAAAUACUUCAUACAGUGUUUAAGAAAAACAAUACCGAUUUCUCUCUCCUUCCCCUUUACCUCUCUGCCUUCAGUCUCUGCUUCCUUGUUGUGUCCAGCUAAGAUAAUACAGUAAAUGUCUAAGCUCUGGCAAGUAAGCUGUCACAUUGAUGUUUAACUGACUUUGAAGCAGUGCAGCUGUAAAGGGGAAAUGAAUUCUGUUCUCUGUCAAAGCCUGUAAAAGAGUGUUUGUUUUAGCAGCUACUGAAGAUGAAAGUGUUUAUUCCAUGACUGCAUUGGUUGUCAAAGCUGGACAUAUUUUCCUGUAUUAAUAAUAUUUGGAAUUUUUCAUUAGUUAUCAUUUCCUGUUGAUUUCUCAAAAGGACUAUUGAGAUUCUGAUCACUGUUACAAUCCUUUUAGCUUUGCUUUUUGUAUUUGAAUGGAAAUCUUGGAAUUCCAUUUCUGUGUGUGUGUAUGUGUAUGCCAGCAUGUAUGAGUGCAUAUUCUAUAAAAUCUUAAAAGCAGUUGCAAAUGUCUGAUACUUUUCCAUCCAAAAGUGAAAUGGCUUUUUGUACAAGGGGCAGAAGGUCAACUCUUCCAGUUGGCCAGGUGAGGUACCUAACGCUCAUGAAAUGCAUCUUACACAUAUCUCUUUCGCUUGUGGUUUCUGUCACAGGCUUUUGCCUCUGAAGUACAGAGCCCUCUCUUGAUAUGAGAAGAACAACCCGUGUUUGGUUACCAGCUUUUAUUGGAAUGUAUGAUGUGCUGUGUGAUUUAUUUCAAAAGUAACAUACUAGGUGCGCUUAACAAAUGUUAGCCAUUCAGCAUAAACAGAAUCAUCCUCGAGUGUAUCUGGCCCGUUGUGGCUACAGUAAGAAGAAAUAGUGAUGAGGUUAGAGUAUUUUUGGUUUGUUUGGCUCUUUAACAUAGGCUAUGUAGAGCCAAAAAAAACUUAAUUAACUAUAAGGAUUUGAAACUGGAAACAGUAACCAUGCUAAGUAAGCCUGUCACCACCAUCUUGGCAUAGUUAGCACAGAGAGCAAGCGGCAAGGGAAGCUGCAUUUUGGACUGGUAUUGCUUGCAAUUGUAUGCAAGUUACCAAUUACCUUUGCUGUAAAAUGGUUGGUAAACAGCCAAAAUGCAGCUGCUUUGAGAGGAUUGCACUUCCUGGUGUUUUUACAGGAAUUACACGGAUGUCAAAGUGUUUCCCAGCUUUUCCAUGAUGAUGAGUGAGAUGUUAUAGGGAAGAACGACCCAAAAUCGUAGUGGAAGUGAGAAGGAGAGAGAAAACUGUGUGAGAACAAAGGAAUUAUGAUAGCUGUGUAUUUACACACCUUCCUUACUCUUCUCGUUUCAAUCUGGUUUCUGAAGGAAAUAAAACUCAUGUGAUUACGACUGAGACAAAACAUGUUGAUGUGCAUUUGUGUGGCUGCGUGUGCUUGCCGCUUCCUUCCUCAACCCCCAGAGAAACUGCUCCUGCAGGCUUCAAGAACAUCCGUGCUCAGGGAGAUGCUGGUGACAGAAAGUAUGCUAAAACCUAUUCAGAGUCAGGAGGUCCUUGUUGGGUGGGCACCGCUGUGGGUCAGUGGAGGCACCAAGUUGCUCAAGCUGUCGGUGCGGUUGUCCAACUCCUUUUUUCACGUGCCUUGCUGCUGCUUCUUGGUAGUUGGAGGCUACAUGUCUUCUGAUGCAGAGAAACUGUGGGGUUUAACACAGCCCUAUCUUAAAAAUCAGAAGGUUUUAUGUCAAGGCUCUGUCUUCUGUGUUUUAAAGUCUAUUGCUGGAAGUUGUUUACUUGUGUCGUACUGAUACAAUAAUCUGAGAUACUGAAAUGAUACUCUGUGAUGUGUAUAAGUAAUAAAAUGUAGAAUUUCCCUAUUUAUAAAUAAGUUUCUGUUGAUUUUCAAGGUACAUGCAAGCAGAAAGCAUACAGUGCUGUAUGGCGGAGGGGCAGUGCAGGCCUGCAUUUGUCCUUCCCCUUUUCUAGCAUAAUGAUUUUGGCUAUCAGCCCUGCAAGUUGUUUGCUUCAGCCUCAGAUAAUCAAUCUGAUUAAGUGUCUUGGCAGUAUUUGAUAUUGUACAGAAAAUGUUUGGAAUGGUGGAGAGAUAUUUCACUGAGCUACUACUCAUGUGAAAGGCUUCGUUUUAAUAGUCUUGGUGAUAACAGAACUAACUGAAACAAGAGAGAGAUGGAAAUAAUAUAUAUUGGAUCAUAUCUUUUAGAGCGAGUGAUUGUAGACAUAAACCACUAUUAGGACUUCUUCCUGUGUGCCUAGUUCCUAUCUGGAUGAGUGAAAGCAGCGAGAUUUAUGUACUUAGUCAACUUAAGGUGUUGCUCAAUAAAAAAGCUGAGGAAAAAGCUCUCUGAGUAGUAACAUGUUAAGCACAAGUAUAAUGGACUCAAGCUGUUAAUGACCGGCUUUGCGUUCACCAGAGGGUUCCUCAAGGUAGAAGGUGUUUGUGGCUCAGGUCUGAACCCCCUUGGUGAAGGCAGGCAAACCUGAAAACAUGACAUCUUCUUAAAUGCCCCAGAGAAUCUCCAGCAUGGCUGCGAAUAAGCUUUAACCUGGCCUUAUUUGAUUCCUGAUUGCAGUAGUUGGAUGGCUUUGCUUUAGCAUAUCUUGCAAAAUGACACCUGAUAACUUACUUAUUUUCUAUAACAAGGUUUCACUGGAGAAGCCUGUCCCCUAGGAGCUCUCAGGAGUGUUUCAGGGAGCUGGUCAGCUCUGAGCCAUCAUGUCCAGUGCGUGCUACAGCAUCUCUGCCAGCCAGUGCUUGCAGCUUCAGUCACUUCACACCUGGCCUUUCUCACUGCAGUCGGUAUUAGAGAGGCCAAAUCUUAACUUCCUAAAUACUAAAGUAGAAAUUACUUUACAAAAGGAGAAGAAGAAAAUGCACACAAACACAUGCACCCAAAACAACAACAGCAAAAUAUAAUCUAACCAUCAAUAAACUUGCUUUGCAGUGAAAACUUGCUUCAUUCAUCUUCCUUAGUGCUAAAAUUGACAUGGCACAGUGGGCCCACUUUGUGAAUGAAUGCAAGCCUGAUUUAGCUUCCUGACUGCAGCAAAGAAAACAAUUCAGGUAUACUUUUUAAGGAGUGGUUAUUUAAAAGUAAUGUGGGUUUGGUUUUUUUUUGCAGCACAAUUAUAUAGUUAACAGGAAACUAGGCUGCAGUCUUUAUGAGUAACUCUUAUUACUACUGCUCCCUUGGUUUCCAGGAGAUGAUGGCUCUAAUGCUAUAUAAAAUCUUAAAGCAUGAAGCAUCAUCUUAGUCAAUUUUCUUUUCUGUCCCAUGAUAUUACUGCUCUAUUAUUUCAUCAGGAAAUGUGUUAAAUUCAAAAACUGUGUGAAUAUCAUGUUUUCAUUUUUCCUUCUAACUCCUUGUUGUUGGUUUGGGGGGAUUGUAGGAGGACCAUAAUGGAGCCCACAUCCUGAGGUUUUAUUUCAGUUUUUGCAACUUCAUAUGCAUAGAUAGAAAGCAUAUCUGAAACCCGUGUUUUGCAUAGAGGAAAACAUUGUGUUUUUUGAACUGGUAAAACACAGAAACAAUUAUUUUUUUGCUGUGGGGAAUGGGAGGUAUAAUCUUGCACAAAACCACUAGGAAGACUUUUUUUCCUAUUACAUAUAUUUAAAAAAAAAAAAAUAUAUAUGUAUAUAUGUAAGUAUAUAAUAGAUGGCACUUCUCAACCUUACAUCAUUUGCUGCCUGGAAACAGUAUUUACUUACAAUAGCUAUAUAAAUGACCUCAUAUGGGAUUGCACAGAGUUCCUUUCUCAAAAAGGUUUGUGUAGGGAAGAAACGAUUUGGUAUCAGUCCUGCAAAGAAUUUCGUUUGAGAGUCAGAAGUAUUGAGCAUUAAUGUUGUUUUUUAAGGACCACCAGUCCUGUUGAGUCAGUUUGGUAGCAGUGCAGAUAUUUUUCAUACAGCUGCAUGUGUUUUGUGAUUGUUCUUUAAAAUACUAUGAGUGUUGCUGUCAGCGUGCCUUUUGCCAUUGCAUAUUACCACGAUUUGACAGCUGACAAAACAAGCAAGCAUAGACUGACACUUGUGUCAGACGUCUUUCAUUAUAUAUUUUUAUUGGCUUAAUUUUUCAUAUGUGUGCUUUAUAUUGGCAGCUUCACUUUUUUUUUCUUUUUGUGGAUGAAGCUUAAUAGUCUCUGUUUUAUGCACGUUUAUAUUUUAGUAGAUUAAAGUUUUACCACAAAACGUAAUCUAAAUUGGUGUGUAGAAAGUAAAGGCUUGGCUAGAAGAUGGCCUGAAAAGGUCUGACCAUUCUUCAGGCUUUAGAAAAAGGAAGGAAAAGAAGAAGCUUUUGACCACCUGAAGAGCUUAAUGCUAUGUUUUUCAUUUCACUGCCUUAUGAUGGCCCUUAAGAAACUUCUGUGAUGCUGCUUUAAGGAGCAGACAGAAUCCUGUUAUCCAUAAUCAAAUGUAUAACUUCAAUUAUUGUAAAGAGUUAGCUAGACUCUGAUGAUACACUUUUUAUGGCAGUCUCUAAAUCCUUGACAAAUAAGUAAGGCGAUAUUGAAGCUUAAGUUCUCUCUUUGGCCCUUGAGCCAUUUCGUUUCCUGAUACAUCUGGGAAGCAUCUCCUGAGGAGAUAGAGGUCCUUAGUGGUCUCAGAGCUCCUGGGAUGCAUUCACACCAGCUGUCAACCCCUUUUCGUAAAGUGUAUUUGAGGAAAUGGGUGUGAAUGGUAAGACAAAUGAUUUAAGGCUUUAGCCUGUGUCAGAAGUUAAGCAGAGUAGAGCUAAAGCAGAUUUUUUACUUUCCUUUCCCCAAAAUAGUGAGAUAUCUGAUACAUUCUCGUUAUAUAUGAGGAUGAGAUUAAAGUUUCAGAAGUGUUUUGCAGACUGUGUGGAUGAAAGAGGUUUGGAAAUAAUGAAUAGCCGGUGUUACGGCAUUUUCCUGUGUUGACAGGGACUUGGGUUGUAAAAUUGCCAGCUUGUCUGAUUCAAGUCAGGGAUUUAAACAUCUGUAGUGAGCACUAGGACGGUUAGAUGGGUUAUCUUGGAGCCAUGCUCCACUGCUCACUUAAAGGUUCAUCUUGAAUCUUUUCUAACAGGGUUUCUACAACUGUUAUUUCUUGCUAAUAAACUGAUUUUGAUUGGUUAGUGUAUUUUAGAUGUUAUUUUAAAGAAAAUGUACUUGCUCACGUCCCUUUGCCAAUACAGAAUUGGAUAUGACUUAAUCAUGGACAUGGGUGAAAACAAAUACAUGGAUGUGGAAGGGAAUAAAAUGAGAAAUUGAAUUGUAACUUGAGUAGAAUAAACAAGUAUCUUUGGUGACAAAUGUUUGGCAAAUACACUGUUACGGCUUGUGAGUUCAGUUGUAAAAGUAAUAAUUUUUAUUGUUUGACUGUAAAUAGAAUGAUACAUAUUCUGAUAGCCAGCCUUUAGGAACAUAUAUUCAAAUAUUGAAAUCCCGAGAUAGGACUUAAAUCUCUGUUGCACAGUUUAUAUCCAUAAUAGCUAGGAAAUCCUAAAAUAAGUUAUACUCUUAUUUUUCAUGUGCAAGCAGAUUCUAAGGUUUCUUGGCACAAAUCUCCCAUAUCAAGUGUGAAAACGGUCACUUAAGCAUGGAAAUUCACCUAUUUUAGUAUAGACAACAUCUAUGCAAUUAAGUAUAAUUCUGGUAAUUGUGUGCUUCCCGUGUAUCUCAGGAUACAGUUAAUGGAACAAGUUGCAGGUCUCAGGACUUAAAUAACUCAGUAAAUAAACCAAUUGCUAUAAAAUAUGGCAGAAAUAGAAAGAUUGAGCUUCUGCAUUCAGUGCUGUUCUACAAAUUAAAUGAGCGUUCAGUUGUCUCCCAAGCAUAAUGCACAAAUGGAUGGUACUAAAAUAUGCGUUGUUAUUACUGGGCAAAAGAGGUAUUUAGGAAAAAAAAGAAAACUUCAAAGUAAUGAUUUUACUUUUUACAUAAAUGCAGUUUAUUACUCCCCUCUUUGCUUUGUUUUUGUGUCCAUUUUCUGUCUGCUGGUGUUAUAUCAUCUGCACGCUUAGUUUUUAAAUGCUCUUGUGAAAGUAUCGCUCUAUUACUUCCAGCUGAGUAAGUACUCAGUUGCACCUCAUAAGCUUUCCAAGUCACGUCUUACAGCAGUGACAACUCUGGUCGGAAAACAACUGAGGUUUUAAAGCCCAGUUCUUGUUCUUGUAAACCAUGUUAGUGAUGCUUGGAGUUGAUUGUGGGCCUAUCGAUGAAUGACGACGGUGUAAUUUCAAUUAUUCCAUUCAGUGGUGAUGUAGAUGCUGAUCGGUUUUCAGAUACGAAUCCAGCCGUUGGCCACAUGUGCUAGCGUGUCCCAUUAAAGGGCAGCCCUCAGAGAAAACGAGUCCUGAAAGAGCAGGGCUGUAGUUGAGACGUUUCCUACAUAACUGGGAAGUAAAAAUGGGUGGAGAAUUUCAAAGACAGUGAUGAGCUAUCACUGGCCUAUAGCAGUGAAAGUAAAAACAUCAACCUUAAAUGAGACAAGGUAGAAGACUCGUUUCUUCAAUUGUCAUGUGCUAAACGAAGUUCUUGGUUAAUCCAAGUGUUCUCAGAAAGGAAAAAAUGUUGGAAGUGUAAGCAAGGCCGUUUUUAUUCUGAUGCCAUUUCUACGAUUCAAGAUUAACAUCAACAACUUUUGUCACUAGGAAUGCAAUAUAACCAUUAGCAGAGGAAAAUCUGUCCAACCGUCUGGGGAUGAUUCCUCUGCUGUUGUAAAUUAGCUGGAAUUCUUGUGAAAAGCUUUCCACAUCAUGAAUGCUUUGGAGAGUAUCUGUGCAGGCUUCAGCUGGUUUUAAUUUGCCUUACUUAGCAGUAUAUUAUGUCCGUGUUUGCUCCUAAAAGUUGUGCACGAAUAAUUACUUGUCAGUCUACAAAUGGUACAACAGAACUUUGAUUGCAAAGCCAGCUUUGGAUGGGCUAGACACAAAACAAGAGCUGUACAAGUUCUUUUCUAUGCAUUUAGUUUUCUUUGAAAUUACUUUCUGUUGUUGUUGUGCUGUCACCCCUUGGCACUCUAACUUCACGAAACUACUAUACAUAAGGCUUAAAUCCUCAUGGUAAAUGAUUAGCACUUGUAAGUCCAUUUAUUUACAUCCAUUUUAAUGUUUUCUGCUGAAGUAUGGAGGCUUGGUUUAAUUAUCUUGACUUAGCCAAAUAUUUUUGUCUGAUUCUGCCAAUUUCAUGACCUAUAGGGAAGGUAUGUUUAAUUUAAGAUCCAAGGGCACUUGUGAAGGGCUUGUGCAUGUGUGUUCAAAGGAAAAAUGAAGAAAAAAAAUCCUUUUUUUUUCUUUUCCACCUUUUAAAACUACAAAAAAUGUGUUUUAAUGGGUUUCCUCAGUACCGUGAUACUUUGUAUGGUUUCUGUUCCUCCUUGUUCUUAAGCUGCUUUUCAUUGUAUCUUUUUUAGUUUGGCUCCUCUGGAGUACAAGAGUCAGAUUUCUAAUGUUCAGCUUGUUGGAACAGGUUUUACUCCAUCUUCUUUCUUUCCCUUUGCUGGGUUUGUGUACGUGCAAAUUUGAGAAUUAUCUACCUUCCCUUGAUGAUUAAAACAUUUCAUUUCUUUGCAGGGUAAAAAGCCAAUACCUCCUUAUAAAAAUCAAUACAAAUUUACUUGUCUUCAGUUUAAGCGAUAGUUCUGCAUUUUUGUAUAUCUGAUAGAUCCAACCUGUUCAUUUGAAUUCUUGGGCAGAAGUCACCAACGCUGAAAGACCUCAACCACACCAGGUGUAUAUCUGAACUGAUGGGGUGGGUAGUAUCUGCUGCUUACAGUCAGAAGUACUUCAGAACCGUGUUCUUGUGAGUGAAGUAGAAAGAGUAUUUUCUUCAAUUACAAAUUGUGAGCGUGGUUGUGUUUCUGAAUGUUGUUGUUUUAAGCUGAUCUGCUAAUGUAGAUAUCUGCCUACUUGAUUUGUUGUUUUUAAAGGUUUUUUUAUGAAAUAAGUUUUGAGAUAUAUUUAUGAUGUUGAAGUUCUGUAUUGCCUAGGGGAAACAACACAAACCAAAAACAUAAAUGAAAAGCUGUAUCAGCCAAUCAAGAUAUUUCGUUCCUGUUGAGAUCAGUGAGGGAGCUAAAAGAAGGAACAUAUUCCAAGGGCACCUUCAAUCUGUAAAUACGAGCUUUUUAGGCCUGACUUCAGUAAUUUUUGUAUUCUGAAAGGCUUCAAGGAGGAUUAUUCCUAAAAUUUGUUUAUGUAGUUCUUCCUUCACGGUACUGUUACCCAAAAAGUCACAUCAGUUGUUCUAAGAUAAACCAGAAAGCAAAAUCUGAUAAUGAUGUGUCACUACGUCAGUUUUGCUUUAUGGCAUUAGCUGUUUGGAGAGGUCAGAAGCACGUUUUGUGUUUUGUACUGAGGUUUCACAGGAAAAAAAAAUGCAGGAAAUUGUGCCAUCUUACUAAAGAGGAUGUUCCAAUUGUCCAGCCUCUGAUAUCUCCCUCAUGCUACCUUGUUCUGUGUGAGAGUUUGUGGUGGGGUUUUUUUUGCUUACUGAUUGUGUUUGUUUUUUUUCUCUCAAAAGAAUUUCAUUUUGAAGGUACGUCCUCUUGGACCUAACAGAAGCACUAGAGAAAUGCUUUCUUUUUUUUUGUGUGUGUGUGUGUGUUAGUAUAAUAUUGUAUUUUUCUCCUUCAUGGCAAGAUUCUUGAAAAUGGGGGAAGCAACAGUUAGUUUGUUCGGAAACUUUCAGGCUGUACCUUCGUAUGUAUGUACUCCUUCAUUGAACUUCACAACACUUUAACACAAACCAUACAUCAGUGAAUAUCAUCGUCUUUUUCAUUUAGGAAAGCAGGCACAUGCAUAUUUGGUUCUGCACCAGUAUUAAACACAAGACUUGCUGGAUACCAAUUCCAUGCUUAGUUCCCUAGGUCUUGCUGUUUGUGCAGAGAUAUUGAUCUUGAGCAUAUUUAGCAAUCUCUGCCAGUUGCCCCCGUGAAUGUUCCAGGCUUUGUCACACACUUGAUGUGCUGCCCUGGUGGAGGGCUCAUUUGCCAGGAGGCUGUGUUCUCUACCUUGGGACUUUUCCCAAUGUUGUGAAGAAUGAUUUAAGCUUUGUAGGAAUGUUCAUCCUGUAAUUUUGGACAUCUAUGUUUUAAUAAUUGUAUUACUAUUUUUACACAUGAUCCUGAAUGUUUCCAGAUGUUAUUUGAAGUCCUGGUUUGCAAGGACAUGUGUUUCAAGGACUGAGAUUUAUUACUUUUACGUAACAAAUGGAAUAAUAAUGCUAGCACUAUAUACAUGCUUACUAGUAGCAUAAAUUAAUGCAAGUGUAAUGUACAGCAAUACUGCUCUGAAGGUACAUAUGAAAAAAUCAUCUUCUUUAUCAUGUUUUACAAAAGUGAUGAAUGCUAAGGUAGAGGGAUUGCUGACAUACCCUUUCACCAUAACAUGUAGUGGGGAAAUACUCUUCUGCUGUUUUUAUUUCUGCACAGGUCCUUUGAACUUCUUGUCUUCCUGGAGUAUUUUUUAAAUGUGUUUGGCUGUACGGCAGGGAGAAGCUGGCUUUGCACUUGCUAUGGAAACCCAGGAAAAGACAGUGUGCUUGGUAAAGUGGAAUCUGUGUACUCCGCUGUUAACAAAGCUUAAAAGCAUGGACAGACAUCGAGCUUUCAAGCUGUACGGGUUACUUGGGGAAGGUGUGCUGGCAGAGGCAGAGUACACAGAGCAGCAUUCCACAGAGCUUGUGACUUUGUACCCUGGAAGCAUUUGGCAACCUGCAGAGAUUGUUACAGCAAACAUUUUAACUCAGUUUGAAAAAGUUACUAUUACAGAAAGAAAAUAAUCUUUUAACCUUAAAUAAACAUGUUCUGAAACUUGUUAGAGAAAAAAAAAAUAGGCUUUUUUUCUUUUGUGGUUUUGUUUCAGGAUAGGCCCUGCACAUGUGAGGGUUUUGCAUCUGUUUUAGUACAGCUUGAUCAUGUUGGCUACACAGGGCAAUUGGCAGCCCAGCCACAACAUUUCAUGUGUAGUAAAAAUACAUGGGUGCUAAUCAGAUUAUGAGGACUGAAAAAAGGCUGGCCUAAAACUCAACCAAAUUAGAAGGGAAAAUCAAGAGUUUUGACAGCAUGUUGUAAACCUGACUAUUCUGGACAGAACACGGUUUGAAACAUACCAAGACAAUUAUUGCCAGUCUUGUAUGUUUUGGCAAUAUGCAUUGUUUUGGGUUUUUUUAAUCAAGUGGACAGAGUAAAAAGUAAAGUCAGGAGAUAUUAGGAAAACUAGCAGAUGAAUUUUGGAGUUAUGAAUUAUUGCCAGGAUAUGGUUAUUAUGAGGCCAUAGGAAGUUUAACAGCAGCAAUAAUAGUGACUGGAAAUCCCUUAAGCCCAGCUGGAAGUGGGUGAGAUGAUAGGAAUGGCAUGCUUUUGUCUCCUGAUUGCCCUGAAAGUAUCAUCAAGCUUGCCUUGAUGUCUUACAAUAUCUGUCUUAGCUGGCAGUGCAUGCGGGGCAUCUUUGCUCCUCAGCAGUCCUAAGACAAUCAGUGCAGCCCUUGAUGAAGGACAGGUGACCAAUUUUUAAUAAUGUUUGGUCAUCUUGCAAACUUUGGGUCUCUGGUUAGAGAGGAUGCCAGCUGGCAUUGUGCCUGGCUGAAGGUUUGCACAGAGCUUGGCAGAAGGCGCAGCCCUUUGCCCCACUGCAUGCUCCUUACGUCUUAUUAACAGAAAGGAUUUGGGAUUGCCACCAACAGGUGUCCGAGUAGGAAGUGGCCAUCAAUAGGUUUUAGGUGUGAAAUGCUAUUGUAGCAUGCUGUUUUUUAGCUAUUUUUGUUUUACCACUUCUAUGAGUGGACACUUGAACAUGGCACGAUUCAGAUUUUUUGAUCAGGUUGUGGUCCACCUCACUUUGCAGUAUGGGCCCAUGCACAUUCCAACAAGCGUUAUGUUUACCUGGAAGGCUGGUGUGCCAGAUUAGCACAACAAUACAUGGUGUGGUACAGAUUUGGGUGGUUCCUGAAUUUCAUCAGUGGAAAAAAAUUAGCUAUGUGUUUGGGCUGGGUUCAAGCUAAGGCAUAACUUCCUGCUUGGGAUCUGUGCUUGUGGGUCACUUGGUAAAUAAAAGUCAGCCCAUUUCUGACAAAUAUCUUACUUCGUAUUCUCCCUUCAGUGUCGUCAUUUCAGGAAUAAAAUGGUCUUCCACUUUGUUUACCAACAAUGGUGACUCUAGUAUAGAAUUCCAGUGAGUUGUUGAAACUAUGAACUUAAAUGUUAGUAGGAUAUUGUUUCCUAAAGAGAUAUUUAAACAAAAUAUUGUCUGGGUGAUGUUCAAAAUACGCCUUUUAUUUGGCUUAGAAAAGCAGUUGAUGAUGAGCUGCUAUUUUUUGAAAAACCCUCUGGGCAUUUGUAUUUUAGCUGUGGAAAAGGCUCAUAUAAAUGAGUAGUAUGAGCAAUGUGAGCCAUUCAGACUAUAAAUAAUGCAUCUCCAAAGAUGUCCAAUUUGCGAACAUAGUUUUGAUAUGUUUGAAAACACCGUUCAGUAAUUACUAGUUUUGAGUUUGACACUGUUUCGAUAGGAACUCUAAUGGCUAUUGAAAUAGGUAUGAAAGAAAAAGUGAACUGUUCUACUUAACCAUUUAUGUAUUUUCUUUUUUUUAACUUAAAAUGAUCCAAAAUUUUCCAGAUUUUCUUAGCAAUGGAGCAGCUUUCAUCCUUCAUUCUCCCCGAGACCAUCAUGUGCUUCUAAUAGAGUCAUAGAGGGAAAAUAUUGUAAGUAGGAUCAGAUGCCAACCGUGGCCUUUUGGACCACCAUUUGGAAACUGCUGCUUUUUAAUAUUUAUUUAUUAGUUCAUAGUGUUGCUCUUUUGGCUACAGCAUGAAUACACGUUUUAAGUGUUAGUUCUAUAAAGAUUGUAAUGCUGACUGUCAUGAUUUUCAUCUUAAAUAAAUCUUUCACUGCUGUAGUAUUUUCUCACUUUUUUCAGAUAUGAUCUGCUGUGUUGGAAAAUGUGAUUGCUCUCAAGUACAUGUGGAAUCAUUUUAAAAUAAUAAUAAAUAUAUUGCCAUAUUGCUUUUCAUGGGCUCUAAUAUUCAGAACAGUGAUCAAAUACACACUUUGUUUAAGAAAGCAUUUACGUAGCAUUUAACACAGUAACACAUGCUUUCUUAAAUAGGUGUAUCUCCCGUGCAAGAAAUCAAUCUUGCUUUUGUUACUGAUUAUCAUGGAUCUAUCAGCUUGGUUAUUGUAAAAGUACAGUUACAGAACUGCAAACAGUAACUGAAAAAAACAUGAAUAUGGUAAAAUUCAUUCUUGUGUUUGGACUGAAAAGUGGUUGAAUGAAACUUGAGUUGCUUUUAGGUUUUGGUUCAUGGCUUCUUACAUGUACUUAUUUGAAGACUAUAAAUACCUAAAGAUAGCAGCAAUGAAUAAAAAGGUUUUAUUGGUCUAACUGUGGUGCUGUUCCUGCGACAGAUCUCUUGAAUCUUGUGGCCUUUGGCUUUGAUUUUUGUUGGAGGCAAUUUCUCUUCACGUAAUUAUUUCAUGGUGUUUGCAUGGCACUGAAGCCUGGCAUGCAGGGUGUGCACUGAGGUGUGUGUGUGAUAGCAGCACUGUAUGUGUGUGCUUUGCCUUCCAGUGGAGGGACAGCAGAUGAAGCAGCACUGGCUGUCUCUGUCACAGAUAGCCAUGCUCUCCUCUAAACUCUAAUGGCAGAGAGUUGUUUUGCUGGGUAAGUUCUCACCAAUCAGUGGGCUUUAUUUCAGGUUUUGUUUCCUUGGUUUCAAGGUCUGUGUUUGAACACAGUCUGUAGGUACUCAGGCCUGAAAAUGCUUCAGAGGACCAUUUGCCCUGCCAGCUCCCCUUUCCUGAUGUGCUGUCCUGUGAGCUGUCCGCCUUGCUGUGCCAAGCCAGUGCUGGGCUGCUGAGGUGCUUGAGGCUGGAGGGUGCUCCAGGACUGCUCCUCAUGUCUUAUCUCCUCAGCACAGAGAGCAGGUCUGGUCUCAUGGGUGUCUUUGGGGCAGUCCUACAUAGGUGCCAUAGCUAUGGCUGAGGCGCUUGGUCUUUCAGAUGCCCCUUGCCACAGUCUAUUGGAGGACCUGUUCUCUAGCGCUGUACCUUUCAUAUUUUCUAAGCUCUCAACGGAGACUUUCUGGGAAGUCUGUAACGCUUUCUGAGGGGUUUGUGAUACCUGUCUAAAAAUAUUCAUAAGGUUUAUGAAGAGUUGGUGCAACUCUGAAGCGCUGUCCCAGGAGCAUAGUCCUGCUGAAAUUUGACUGUCACAUGCUGGCUAUGAAAGCCAGCUGCAGGAGGCAGGAGCUCUGCUGACUGAAAGAAACUUCAUGCUAUGAAGAAACGCUCUGACCCACUUCAUGCAUCCUCCUGGGCUGGUGGUUACUCCUUCUCCCUGGAGCAUGAAAGAUCAAAGAUUUCCAGGUGUGGCCCGGCGUUAUUUGCUUUAGCAGAGCUGGCUGAACAGGGGGGAUAAGAGAUUUCAUGAGGGUUUCUCUAAGCAGGCACACCUCCUGUAUUGAAAUUACAUCACUUCUGUGAGGUUGUUAAAGCUGCAGGGUUGCAUACCUUGAAGCCCGUGCUGCUUCCUUCAUCUUUGCUGAGUGAAUCAAAGUGUGACUGUUUCUGUGAUGCUAAUGUUGAUGUCAUUUUAUUCUACUAAGAAUGCUUGCUGUCCGAUGCAGGUCUGAAAUCCUUUACCAAGGUAAUUUUAUUCUUCAUGUAUCUCACUUCUUUAUAGUAAUAAAAAAGCAGGUUUUCCCCCUUAGCAGAUUUCCUCUUUGCUUAGGCAUCACUCGAAGAAAGCUGCUUGUCAAAGAUUCUUUACUUUGAGAAGUCUUCUCUGCUUUCUUCUGUUACUGUGUAAGAUGCAUUGAAGAAGCACAGGACUGAACUGGUUUGCCUCGCAGAACAGUUAUAUUUUCUCAUGGACUUACUGGUCAAUUCUAUCCAAAGCAAAAUCAGUGAUCUUGGAAAGCUCUAGGAGGGCUCCAACAUCUUGUUUGUUGAUGCUGUGUUUCUGCAGGAGCCAAGACUUCCUCAGGCCUUCUGGAUGAGACGUUGAAAUGUUAUGGGUAUCACAUGGGAAGAUCUCUCAGUUUUCUUUGAUAUUCUGCGGGUGGACUGCUAAGCUUCUCAGUAUUGUUGAGCUGUUCUUGUUAAUGUGCAUACCAUGAACUGGAGCAGGUCACCAUUUGCUUUCUAGAUUUGCAUAGAAGGGCAGAUAGGAGUUAGCAGUUUUUCUUUUAUAGGUGCAAACACUUCAUUGAAACAAUGCAGAGUCACUAAGCUCUACUCUGUAGAUAGAUUAUGUGAAUAUAAAUAGAGUUGGGAAGAAGAUUUGCUUGAAGGAAGGUCUUGUGAUUGGUCAGGAUGCCGUGGAAAGUCUGUUCCUUUCAAGUGGCUUUGAGGCAUGUACAGUCCCAACGCUGAAUGAAUCCUUCACGUUCUGAUGAGCAGCAGGGCAGGAAUGCCCAAAUAUAGAGUUUGGCUGGGAUCAUUAUUGAUAAUAAAAACUAGAUAAACUUUGCUCAUUGCCUUGAGAGGUUGCACAGAGAGGUUGUGGAGAUUUACUUGGAGACAUUCAAGAUCCAUCUGGGCAUGUUCCUGUGCAGCCUUCUUUCUGACCCUGCUUGAUUAGAGAGGUUUGACCAGAUGGCCUCCAGAGAUCCCUUCCAACCUAGGCUGUUAAGCAAUUCUGUCAGUGAUUUCAGUGUAAAUUCUUACACUUUGGAUGUGAGGCUGUGAUAUGAGUAACUCCAUGCUAUUAGAAGCAGUAAGAAAGUUUCAGGCAGUAUUAACCACUGGUCUUUGAGAUUGCUUCAGUGGUUUGGUAGCAACUGCAGCUCUGGGAGUGCCUGAGCUAGAGUCACUUUAACCUAAGCUCCCCUUAUUUCACUAAGCGUGAUCAGCAGUUCUUUUGGGACUGAAAAUUUACCUGUUCUGUCUGAAGAACAAAUAGUUGUCUGUCCUACGGUCAGAAGGAAUAGGGCAGAGACUAAUAAGGUUGUGGGUGAGAUUAUAUGGGGGCAAUUGUCAAUUGUGGGUUGUUUUUCAUCCAUUCAAGAACAAGGGGCACCUCAUAAAAUGAUCAAGAAGUGGUUCUUCGUUCAAAAUAUGCUGAAGCUGCGAAAGUCCUUGAUUUUGAGUAAGAGUAGGGACAUAGAUUGUAUAUCACUCUUGUGUGCUGUAAUUUGUGUAUGCUAGUGUAAACCUUUGUUUUGUGCUUCUCUAUUCUGAAAUGGGGUGGUGGGGAACAAAGCAAAAGAGUUGAAGUUUCCUUAGACCAAAGCUGCUGUUUCUUAUUAAUACUGAAAAAGUAUUCAGUGUCUAGAGAAAAACAACUUAGUACCAGAAGAUGAGAAGUUUUUCUUUGGCAAUGAAUGAGAAUAUUCUCUUCAUCUGGAAGUUGCUACAAUGUUCUUUGCCUUGCUUGCACUUGGUUGAUGCUCAUUUACAUGUUUUUAGGACAUUUGUAUGUUGUUUUUCUUCACAGUGAAGAAGAUAAACUUAAUGAAGGAAUGGUGUUAUGUAACUAAAACACUCCAUCAUAAUGUAUUUGCAUGAUGUGGUAGAAUACCUAAAGCAGCAUCGAUGACUGUCAAGCCGCUGUUUCCCAUGUUUCAGUGUCUUGAGUAUGUAACCCAAAUUGUGCUCUUGCAUAACUUGCGCAGGAGCCGUCCUGGAUUUAAUUAAGAGGAAAUAAUAGUGCAGUCAUUUUGUACUGCAGCUGUAGUAUCUUGGAGUAUUUGACUGAAAUACAAAACUGUCAGUGCCAUCAGCCUUUGAUAGAAUGGAUAGUUUGAUUUUAGGGUUUAAGGUGUUUGAAUCAUCAGGUAGUCGUGCUCAUACAGUCUUUUCCCAUGUUUAGUGCUUAAGAAAAUGGUUCUCUUGUGGAAAAUUGGCUGUCGUAAUUAGUAUUGAACCUGUGCUUUGAGGAUCAUUGCAUCAUAGUUGGCAAUAAGGGAUCUACUGACCUGCAUGCUGACUUUGGAAGGUGAAUUGAGAGGACAUGGAAGGAAAGAGUUUUCUGCUGACCCACUGAAGUGAUUCUGGCAAUUCCAUUGCUGUUUUGGUGGUGAACUGAACUCAGCUUUAUAACCACUGGUUAUGACUAUGGUAAGCCACCAAAAAUCUUGCAGGAGUGAAAGAGAGGAGAAAAAUUUGACUUCAACAGCUUAUACAUCAUCCAGAAGUGAGCGGAAUUUCAUGGGAGAAAACGAAAACAGUCUUAUAGUCCAUGGGGAUUUCCUCUGCUGAAUAUCAAAGGUAUACUGUAAACCAUAGAGGUGUAGGCACUUCUGCUUGACAAGUUUUCAAGAUCCUUUAUGAUGAAAGGAGUUAGGAGGUUGAAGUGUAAGAGUUACUGACAAGUCUCAUUGUAAAGUGCAUAGCAGGGUUAUUUGAAAUGCCCCAUUGACCUCAAUAGGUCUUUGUUUUAUUUCUGUCGUCUUGUUGCUGAUUGACACUGGGACUGUGUUGAAAAGAUACUGCGAUCUGAUGUUUUUGGGUAUGCCUGACAAUUUCAUCUCAGUGGUCUCACUCAUGCUCGGCCAAAUUCAACUUUAGUCACUUCAGGACAUUUCUUUGCCAGAAAUUGCAUUCUUCUAAAAACAGGAGUUUAUGUAUCACAGGUUUUGUGAUUCAAGUCAUAGCUUUUGCACGUGAUGCAUCUUUUCCUAAUUAGAUGUAUUCUUUCUAGUGCAUGUAUAUUAUGUACUUACGUGUUGGUCAAAUAAUCUUGAAAAACACGUGAAAAUAAUUGCAGCAUUUUCCAAAUCUAUUGAAAUUCUGAGCAGAUUCUUACAGUAAUCUUGAAAAUAGUACAAGACCCAUGCAGGGUGGGCCACAUUGUUAUAAGAUCAUUAUUUAUAUUGUAAACCUUGCAAGACAGAGGCUGCCAUUUUAUGUUUGUGUGGCUUGCAAUUCUUUAGUUCUAAAUUAAUUAGGUUUUAAUUAAAAGUCGCGUCUUUGAGAGCAACUGAAAUAUUUGCUUUAAAAGCUUGUUUUGUGAACUGGAACUAACCAACUGAUUCUCCCAGAAUUUCUGUCCUUUGUUUUCUGUCUCUUGUAUCUGCCAUCAAUUUCGUCCUUCUUCCCCUCACCGCAUUCCUGAGAAAAGGCGGCGUUUAUUAAAAUUGUAAAAGGAAAAUACAGUUGAGAAGUUUGCAGUGAAAGCUACUUGUUCGGUGUAUUUAAUCAGGAUAUGACUGGAAUUGUGUUAAUCUCAUCUGGUAAGCACUUUCAGAGACUAAUUUAGCUUGACUUCUGGAGCUCCUUUUCAGAGGUUGAGCUGUUAAAGUAACGGGAUGAGAAGAGUCCCAAUGAGGAACUUUCCAAUUUUCAGUUAAAAAUAUACUUUAAAAGAACCAGGAUUUCUGAGAUUGAAAAGUCAGAUAAAAGAUCCUUCGUGUAAUUCUUUUCCUUUACAUUUAUGUGAAGUUAAAUGAGUGGAGAGGAGAAAACAUUUCUAAUCGAUUUUAAACUUCAGAAAAGCUUUUGUUCCCAAAGGCUGCAGCCACUGGUAAACAAAAUACAGAAGGAAUGGCAGAUAAAUAAGAGAGUUCUUUUCCAGUAACACCACCUUCGUUACUUUUGUAGUAACACGGCUCCACAGUUGAGCAGUGGAGAGAGUUUUUAUUCUACCAGCCUGGCCAAUAUAAUCAACGUUUAUGUGAACAAAUUACAGAUAGCUGGAUAGCUACAAGAGGAUUAUCUCUAAUAUUUAACCUGUGAUCUCUGGAAGCUCGGUGUACAUGAAUUUCAAAAAAUCAGUGGCAGUACCACAGCCAGCUGGGAUUUGCAAGGAGAAGUGCUGGUUGUCUGCGUGGAGCUGGAAGUGGGGAUUUGUUCCGUGCCUGUUGGCUGUGGGUUCCUGGAAAAUGUAUCUGGAAUCCCUAAGCUUACCUUGCAUCCAGUCAGGUGAAGCAGGAUUGAUAUUCUUCAGCACCUUUUGUUGUCUUUUUUUUUUUUUUAACCAGGGUAUUUUUGAGGGUUUUUUUUGUUGUUGUUGUUGUGUUUGUUUUUUUUUUAGUACCCUACAACUUUUGUGUUUUACAUGAGAAGCUCAGGGAAAUUUUUUUAUAUCCUCAUCUGUGCACAUUGCUUGAGGUAUGUACCUCACAAAAAAGGAAACAUAAGGACAAGCGAAGGUAAAAAUGAUGUAAGCAGAAGUGUUGUUUUAGAAGAACACAUUAAGAUGACAGAGAAUAUAAGAGGCAUAGUCAGAGGGGCUGCGUAUAAAGAUUUUGGCUUCCGCUGCAGCUAGACUGACUGUGGCAUAGCAAAAUUACAUACUGGAAUGUAAGGAAUUAGAAGUCAUAAGAUUACCAAGAGCUGUAGGACUUUACUAAGCCUAAUUAUAGAAAAACAUUUUAAUGUAUUAUUGUUUUAAUAAAAGUCAACAGUCAAGCACAGUUUGCAGAAAAAGACCUAGGAAAGUCAUAAUUCUUAACCAACAGCACAGAUUUCUUUCAAACAGCAGCAUAUUAGUAAAAUAAAUUUGGAAUCUAUACUCUUUGUAAGAAUCCAGUGAUAGAGUUGUGUUGCAAGGAAAACCCCCUUUGAGACUGUGGUUUAGCAGCUAAAUCAAGAAGCAAAACUUUAUGCAUUACUUGAUACAUGAAUGAAAUGAAAAGAGAGGAAAGUAGUGAAUUAGAAUAAGCAGACUAAACUGAAGUCAAGAAUCAGAAUAAGGCGACUAAACCGAACAUUUAAUGCUCUUACUAACUUGAGUUCAGUACAGGUUCUGUGCAUGUAAGGCGUUGUGCUUACUAGUCGAGCUGUCUUGUUUGAAGCUAAUAGUUAAUAGCUUAGAAGUUGAUUAACUUGUCAUACCAGUCUCGCCAUACUUUUGUUUUUCUCAAACUAGAUGAAAGGUUCCUUUAAGUAUGGUUACUGUAGUACUGCAUUCCUGAUGAUGCUAGUAGUUAAUGACACUCUUUGUUGUAGAAAUCAGGAAAUGUGGGUUUAAGCCUCUGGGAUCUACACCGCUGGAGUAUGAAAAUACUAUAUCCUGAAUGGCAAGGCAUUGCAGGAACAACUUGGUAUGUAACAUAGCUGGUAAUAGAUGUCAGUAGUUUUGCGUUUUAGAUGAAUUUACUCUCCUGGUGUACUGCUACAUCACAUCCGCCCAUGCAAAAACAUUCAUUCCAAAACUUGAAGUCUGUCUUCAUAAGACUAUUCUGUGUUUGUUAGGGUGUUCAGUAUUGGCGUCUGGUUUCUGUCACAAGAACCGUCUGAUCACGUUAUUAUUCAACAUCUAUUGGGCACAGAGGUUCUGGUUGGUUAAAUGGGCUGACAUUCAACAUGAAUUAAUUUCAUUAUACUGAAUAAAACAUCUCUUGUGGUAUGCAGCCUUAUUUCAAUUUGAAUUUUUAAUUUAAAUAGAAGGAAAUUAUUCAUGGAAGUUUACAUAAUGGAAUGUUUGUCAUAAACUGCAUUUAAUGUAUGCCAAGCUCGAGUGUUCUUACUGUGAGAAGAGGCUGUGAGAUUUUCUCGCCCAUUUGGCUCUUUCGAAGUUUUCAGUGAAGUGUGGGUGGGGUGGAAUUGGCAUUGGAGAUGAGAGAGAUUUCUGCAUUUGCGAUUAAUUUCAUUGGAAUACUAGGAUCGUUGUGUUUCUUGCAGAUUACAUUUUGACUGUUUAAUGAAAAGCAAAAGUAUUUUACUGAAGCGAUGCUGGCAUUUUUUCCUUAGUGAAGUACCUGUUUUGUACCUUAGAUGUUUCUGAAAGGUCCCAGAUUACUUUGCUGCCCAAAGGAAAAUUCAUCUAUGGAAACAGAGCCACUGCCAAAGUAUCUCAGGGGUUGC